UACGUAGGGGGGCAAGCGUUGUCCGGAAUCAUUGGGCGUAAAGAGCGUGUAGGCGGCUCGGUAAGUCCGUUCUGAAAGUCCAGGGCUCAACCCUGGGAUGCGGAUGGAUACUGUCGGGCUCGAGUCCGGAAGAGGCGAGUGGAAUUCCUGGUGUAGCGGUGAAAUGCGCAGAUAUCAGGAGGAACACCGAUUGCGAAGGCAGCUCGCUGGGACGGUGACUGACGCUGAGACGCGAAAGCGUGGGGAGCAA
rnacentral:rRNA from 1 species